AACCAUUCUCACCUGCGGCUAGACCUGCGGAAGGAUCAUUACCGAGUUUACAACUCCCAAACCCCUGUGAACAUACCAAUUGUUGCCUCGGCGGAUCAGCCCGCUCCCGGUAAAACGGGGCGGCCCGCCAGAGGACUCCUAAACUCUGUUUCUAUAUGUAACUUCUGAGUAAAACCAUAAAUAAAUCAAAACUUUUAGCAAUGGAUCU
rnacentral:misc_RNA from 1 species